CGCGACAUUAACUUUUUAAUUAUAUUGAUAUAAACAGGUGCAUUGCUAUAAAAUGUUCAUUAUUAUUCAGUAAACGCUGAGACAAAUCACCGCGGAGAGCAGUUCUGAUCAUGUGUACAUGGAUUUUCUUCUAUAUAGCGAAUCACCAGUAUAUGUAAUAACUUUUAUAUCCACACCGGGACUAAGUUUUUAAAGCGCGCACCUCCGUCGAACUAGUAGGCGAUAUGACAUUAACCACUGAGACUUAAACUUUAUAGGGAAACAUAAGAACGUGAACUUCCAAGGAAACCGGAACGUAAAGUUUAUUAAGCAUUAGAAGUGAAGUAAACUUAAAAACAUUAGAAGUGAAGUAAACUACCAAGGAGACUUAAACGCACAGUUUUAGAAAGCAUUAGAAGUGAAGUAAACUCAUAGCGGGCGCCUGUUUGUAACUUUAACUUGUCAGGUAAUCUAAACUGCUGACCCUGUAAUAAGUCACGUCGUAUGAUACCAAUGAAAUAAAAGAAAUAUUACUGAAAACGGCAAAAGCUUAUCUAACAAAGGAUUGAGAGACGAAAGUACGAUUAAGGGGAAAGAAGAAACAACAAUAUAUAUAUAUUAUGAUGGCAAGCAAGAGAGCCUUAUACAUAUCCAAGACAUUGUUUCUAGUUUUAGUUUUAUUGACGAACUAUAGCAGUGGUUAUUUUAUUAGACAGUCUUUUGUUACAGAUAUAGAACCGUCAGAACGACAAAACACAGAACUUCAACGCAAAACUCUAAUAGAAAUUUUACAGAAUUUACAAGAAUUUAGUUUUCAAGAAGAAAAGCGAAAAAUAGAUACAAAAUCUUCAUUUCAAGUAAAAACAGAUAGAAGACAGAUGGAUUCAGUGGGAUCAGUGAACAAAAGAGAUUACGGAAUAAUGCCACCAUGGAAUGAGAUGUGCCGCAUGAUGAGGGUGGCAUUCUGCGUCCGACACAGAAAAUAACAUUAUUUCUACGGUCCGACACAGAAAAUAACAUUAUUUCUACGCUGAUCUAUACUGUUAUUAAAAUCAACAUAUUUUCAA